rnacentral:SRP_RNA from 14 species
GAAGCUAGCAGCCAUGAGCACUGCAAGCGGGUGCCUUGGU